rnacentral:rRNA from 1 species
AAAUUAUUACCAUAGGCCUCCCCAAAAUAAAAAUAUUUAGCUUUCUUUGUAAAAAAAACACUUUCACUAUUAAAGUAUAACCACUAGAAAUUUUUUAAAGGACCAACAGAAAAAGUACCGAAAGGAAUAAUGAAAUAAUACUAACUUAAUAAAUAUUAAGAAGGAAAGAUUAUUCCUUUUACCUUGUGUAUAAUGGAUUAACGAGACUACCCAAAAAACUAUUUGACACCCGAAACUGGACGAGCUAAUCUUCUCCUCUUUUUAGAAGAUUUAUCCUUACUGUUGCAAUAGUAAGAGAAAAGGGAAGAUUAGAUGUGAAAUGCUAACCGCGCCCAGAGAUAGCUGGUUCUCCAAGAAAUUAGUUUUAGCUAAGCCUUUAAAACAAAAAUAGAAUUACUUUAACAUAUAAAACCAAAAAGAUUGGUUUUUUUUUAAGUUGAAGGUCAGGGCUUUAGGGAUAAGCCUAGAGCCCAAAAUGGAAAACCCCAAUUCUGAUAGAAAAAGACAAUAACCACAUAAAUAGUUGCCCCUAAAGAAGUAGGCUUAGAAGCAGCCACCUAAAUAAAAAGCGUUAAAGCUUAAUUAAAAAACCUCAACUAAAAAAUCCUUGGCACAACCUCUGAAUCUACAGAAAAAUAUUGGAGCCCUCUGAUUCUCAGAAGAGACAAUGUUAAUAUGAGUAAGAAUACUUUCACCUGCGUUUUAUACCCCCCUAACCUUGGAAAUAAAAACAAUGAGACUAAAAAAAUUGUUUUAACUAUUGUCCUCCAACUCAGGAGAAAGAAAAUUAAUAAAUUGGAAAAAAGGAACUCGGCAAAACACAGUUUCGCCUGUUUACCAAAAACAUCGCUCCCCGAUAAAUAACAACAUGAGGAGUCCUGCCUGCCCAGUGACUAAAGGUUAAACGGCCGCGGUAUCUUGACCGUGCGAAGGUAGCAUAAUCAUUUGUCUUCUAAAUAAAGACUAGUAUGAAUGGCAAGACGGAACUGAACUGUCUCUUUUCCAAAUAAUCCGAAUUUCACUUCUCCGUGAAGAGGCGGAGGGUAAAAUCGUUAGACGAGAAGACCCUGUCGAGCUUUUAGCAAAAACUUAACUAGUAAAACACUUAAACUACUCUAGUAAAUGAAUGUAAGUAUAACUAAGCUACUAAGAUUAAGUGAAGCUUUGGUUGGGGCAACCGCGGAGUAAAAGAAGCCUCCGCUAAAAAAAUAUUAACCACUAAACUAAGGACUACCAUCCUAUAAUCAUGAAUGAUUAAAUUGAUCCAUUUAGAUGACCAAAGGAACAAGUUACCGCAGGAUAACAGCGUUAUCUUUUCUGAGAGUUCACAUUGACGAAAAGGUUUGCGACCUCGAUGUUGGAUCGGGACAUCCUAAAGGUGCAGAAGCUUUUAAGGGUUGGUCUGUUCGACCAUUAAAGUCCUACGUGAUCUGAGUUCAGACCGGCGAAAGCAGGUCAGUUUCUAUCUACGUAUUUAUUCUCCUCAGUACGAAAGGACCAGGAUAAGAGUGCCCAUGCAGACAUGUAUUGCACUUCAAUUAAAAACAUG